CCUACGGGGGGCUGCAGUGGGGAAUAUUGGACAAUGGGGGCAACCCUGAUCCAGCCAUGCCGCGUGUGUGAAGAAGGCCCUCGGGUUGUAAAGCACUUUCAGUGAGGAAGAACGCCUGGUGGUUAAUACCCAUCAGGAAAGACAUCACUCACAGAAGAAGCACCGGCUAACUCCGUGCCAGCAGCCGCGGUAAUACGGAGGGUGCGAGCGUUAAUCGGAAUUUCUGGGCGUAAAGCGCGCGUAGGUGGCUUGAUAAGCCGGUUGUGAAAGCCCCGGGCUCAACCUGGGAACGGCAUCCGGAACUGUCAAGCUAGAGUGCAGGAGAGGAAGGUAGAAUUCCCGGUGUAGCGGUGAAAUGCGUAGAGAUCGGGAGGAAUACCAGUGGCGAAGGCGGCCUUCUGGACUGACACUGACACUGAGGUGCGAAAGCGUGGGUAGCAAACAGGAUUAGAUACCCGUGUAGUC
rnacentral:rRNA from 1 species